UACGUAGGUGGCGAGCGUUUGUCCGGAUUUACUGGGCGUAAAGAGCGCGCAGGCGGUCGUACAAGUCGCGUGUGAAAGCCCCUGGCUCAACUGGGGAGGGUCACGCGAUACUGUUCGACUCGAAGGCAGGAGAGGGAAGUGGAAUUCCCGGUGUAGUGGUGAAAUGCGUAGAUAUCGGGAGGAACACCAGUGGCGAAGGCGACUUCCUGGCCUGUUCUUGACGCUGAGGCGCGAAAGCUAGGGUAGCAA
rnacentral:rRNA from 1 species